CCUACGGGAGGCAGCAGUGAGGAAUAUUGGUCAAUGGACGAGAGUCUGAACCAGCCAAGUAGCGUGAAGGAUGACUGCCCUAUGGGUUGUAAACUUCUUUUAUAAAGGAAUAAAACGAGGCACGUGUGCCUUUUUGCAUGUACUUUAUGAAUAAGGAUCGGCUAACUCCGUGCCAGCAGCCGCGGUAACACGGAGGAUCCGAGCGUUAUCCGGAUUUAUUGGGUUUAAAGGGAGCGUAGAUGGGUUGUUAAGUCAGUUGUGAAAGUUUGCGGCUCAACCGUAAAAUUGCAAUUGAUACUGGCAGUCGUGAGUACAGUUGAGGUAGGCGGAAUUCGUGGUGUAGCGGUGAAAUGCUUAGAUAUCACGAAGAACCCCGAUUGCGUAGGCAGCUUACUAAACUGUGACUGACAUUGAUGCUCGAAAGUGUGGGUAUCAAACAGGAUUAGAUACCCCUGUAGUC
rnacentral:rRNA from 1 species